AUAGAGGCCUACCAUGGUGGUAACGGGUAACGGGGUGUUAGGGCACGACACCGGAGAGGGAGCCUGAGAAACGGCUACCACAUCCAAGGAUGGCAGCAGGCGCGCAAAUUACCCAAUCCCGACACGGGGAGGUAGUGACAAUAAGUAACAAUACGGGGUUCUUUCGGAUCUCGUAAUUGGAAUGAGUACAAUUUAAAUCUCUUAACGAGGAACAAUUGGAGGGCAAGUCUGGUGCCAGCAGCCGCGGUAAUUCCAGCUCCAAUAGCGUAUAUUAAAGUUGUUGCAGUUAAAAAGCUCGUAGUUGAAUUUCGGGGUUAGUAGGUUGGUCAUGCCUCUGGUAUGUACUGGUCUCACUGAUUCCUCCUUCCUUAUGAACCGUAAUGCCAUUAAUUUGGUGUUGCGGGGAAUUUGGACUGUUACUUUGAAAAAAUUAGAGUGUUUAAAGCAAGCUAACGCUUGAAUACAUUAGCAUGGAAUAAUGAAAUAGGACGUUCGAUCUUAUUUUGUUGGUUUCUAGGAUUGACGUAAUGAUUAAUAGGGAUAGUUGGGGGCAUUAGUAUUCAAUUGUCAGAGGUGAAAUUCUUGGAUUUAUUGAAGACUAACUACUGCGAAAGCAUUUGCCAAGGAUGUUUUCAUUAAUCGAGAACGAAAGUUAGGGGAUCGAAGACGACCAGAUACCGUCGUAGUCUUAACCAUAAACUAUGCCGACUAGGGAUCGGAUGA
rnacentral:rRNA from 1 species